UGAUGAUUUAAAUAUUAACGACAUCUAGCGGUGAACUAGUAACAGUCACUUUUAAAGACCCGUCACAAGGAAAGUUGUCGUCAAAAAACGGGCGGGGCUGUCCUGGCUGUCAUCUGUGUCCUCGCUGUCCUCAGCUCCGCCCCCUCCUUCUUCAUCUGAUGAGUCAUCCAGAGUCAGAUCCACCACAACUCCGCCUCCCGACCCGGCGCUGGUGCUGCCGUUUCCUGCCGACGCACCACCUGAUCCAAGCUUGCCAGUCUGGUUUGUGCCGCUGUGUGCUGGGGAGUGGCCGUUUGCCUCAGGAACACCUUGGAUGAAAGUUAAGGACCGUUAUUUCUCAUGAAGAUAGUCAGGUGUGCGGCUGUUUUCCCGCUCUCUUUCCUUCUCUUUGUCGUCCCU